rnacentral:lncRNA from 1 species
AUGGACCUUAUGCAUAUAAUUGUGGGAGGAGAUGUCGGUCAUCUUUUGAAGUGUAGCCGAGUAUAGAAAACUACGGCAUUUUGAUGUACCGACUAAAGAUGUCCAUCUGCUCUAUGUAAAUAAACGUGUUCAGUUUUAACUUAUAUAAGAUGUUUAGUAGGUGUGCAUCGUUUUCUGAAUAUAGGGAAGGGAGUUUGUUAGAUGUGCUUCCGUAUAUGAAUUGCACAAAGGACCUAUAAAAAAAAAAUGUAAACCCCCAUGGUUGUAUGAACCCGCUGCAAUUGAAAUGGUAUCAG